UUCCCUUUCUCCUAGAUUCGUUAAAUCAAUUGAGUACCGCUACACUAGUACUCAACCUUCUUCACCCUUCAAUCUCCUUUCCAUUCGCUACUUUUCAAAUCGAGGGAAAAAUCCUCAAAUCUCUUCCCUCAUCCCUCGCCGCAGCGUCGCCACUCGCGACAACAAAUAGCCAGCAUCGUUGCCAAUGUUGUAGUGUGCUCGUCGCGCUUCGUCGCUGCUUCUGUGGCUGCUCCUGAAUCCGCCGUGGUCGCAGCGUCAGGCUCCCUCCGUCGCGUUCUUCCACCGUCGCGCACGGCUCGCGGUGCUACCGCCAGCCGCCGUUUUCCUCACGAGGCGGCGCCACCACCAUUUUCUGUUGUGUCCCAGCCCGGUCGGCGAGGGCUCAACAGACUGACCUCCGCCCAUCUCGGCGCCGUCGCUUCGGAGCUUUCGUAGCUCACCUUCUAUCGGAUAUCUCUCGUUUCGAAGCUAAGUUCCUUUCCUCAAUUUGUUUGAUUAUAUCACAUUCGGUGUAUUCAUGUUAUUGGUGUUGAGGUUUCGUGUUUGGCGUUUCAUUGAGUGUGGAUUAAGUAGUUGAAUAUGUUAACUUGCUACUUAGGAGAUCUUUGUAUUGUUGAGAUAGAUUUAGUUGAUCGCUGGGGCGAGUUUAGCCCUUUCGAUCCUCGCUAGAAUAAUACACCCUGGCUGCUUUGAGCUUUGUCCGAAUCCUAGUGGCUGCUACUUAUCAUGUCGGGAUUCUACCUAUGUGAUGCUUGUUCCUUGUUAUUGUUGCGAGGGUUUCAUUGUGAAUCUCGGGUCUCGGCUAUCUAUUGCCUCAUUCAACAUGAUGCAAGUAUGGUUUUGAUGGGUUACCUCUUGUGCUUGAAGAAGCGAGGCUGCCUAGUUGUUGCUCGCGAAUGCUCCACUUGCUUCACUAUGGGCGGCUGGAAAGUAGUGUAUGUGGUAGGGGGAACUUUGAUGUGUAUGGAGGUUCUUCUUAUAGGCCAAGUGUGUGCCUAUGAGGGACAUAUAAAGGCUGCAUCCUUUGUUUCUAUGCGCAAUACACUCAGUCCUUGAUCCUCUUGCAGCUUUUCAUUUAAGGCAUUUUGGUGUAAUCACUUACUCUAUCUUGUUGCCACAUGAAACAACCUAGUACUCAGCUAGUAAUGGGGUUUGUUUGUUAUGGCAGGUGCUCAACACGGUACAGGAUGGUCAAUGGCAGCGUUGCAGGGUAUCUACCGCUGCUGGGGUGAGUGGUACCGGCUGGCCUUACUUCCUUUUGGCCAAGCUCUUCUUCAUUGUGGAAAGGAGGCUGAUCCCUCUGGUUGCCACCUCUUUGGUUCGGCCCGAAGGACCGUCGAAGAUUGGGCCGCAACUCGGGUCGAUGGAAGGGCCGAAACUUAGCCUUCUAAAAUAUAAUAGGGUUAGAUCUUUCCAAGCUUUCUUUUCUCUCUACAAUUUACGAAUCCUUUUGUAAAGUUAGAAUGUAUUUCCCUUUUGGUUCGUUCCUAAUCACAUUCCUUUUGUAAAUUAGGACAUAAAUCGGCCGGUAGCACGUUGUAUUUUAUUUAUGCAAGGCAUAGACGGUCAUGCUUUCCUUUUUAUUAAAUUCUUUUUUUAUUUC